rnacentral:rRNA from 1 species
UACGAAGGGGGCUAGCGUUGCUCGGAAUCACUGGGCGUAAAGGGUGCGUAGGCGGGUCUUUAAGUCAGGGGUGAAAUCCUGGAGCUCAACUCCAGAACUGCCUUUGAUACUGAAGAUCUUGAGUUCGGGAGAGGUGAGUGGAACUGCGAGUGUAGAGGUGAAAUUCGUAGAUAUUCGCAAGAACACCGGUGGCGAAGGCGGCGACCUGGGUCGAGACUGACGCUGAGGCGCGAAAGCGUGGGGAGCAAACAGG